GUCCCUAACAUCAUCACCGCAUUCACUGCAAUAGGCAGCAAGCAGAGGAGUCCAGGACGAAUCCAUAUUCUCGGAGGCGCAGAAGUACGCCGGCGGAGCUCGCGACGAUCUGAAGAUCUUCCAUGAAGCUAUCCUUGGCGGAGCUAUAGAUCGAGCUCCCACAUCAGUCAUUUGAAGGUGUUUGUGCUUGACAAUCUGAUGUUGGGGGAACUUUCGAAACCAACGGGGCAAAACCCACGGAUUGCAUUGUACGACUAUGAGUCCGUGAAGAAGAUGGUCGAAAAGGUCUCAGUCAAUCUAGGCGGUGGUGAUUUUUCUUACCACGGGGCAUUAGUGAGGAUUUGCACAGAUAAGGGCGAAGUCAAUGGACGAACGUCCGUAGACGGAUGCAUAGCAAAACCAUUUCCCACGACCAAGAGGGUAGCUAGCCCAUGCAUCCCAAUCAUGCGCGCAAGCUAUGCGAAACUGGGGCCGCAUGACUUUUCUAACCACCUAAGGAUCCAUUACCCCAGCAUCAUAAGAGGAACCGUUGUAACUUUAAUUUCAGGUUUCACUUAGUCAGUAAGUGGUUGAGUAGCUUUUCCGCCUUUUCCGCUAUGGGCUAACACAAUCCUUGACGUUGCAGUCAGGUGAGAAGCUAGGUAUUUUGCUCAGAGAGCACAAUGCUAGAGGACUAGCUAAUGCCGUUGAAUUGCGGCAGGCGUUCCAAGCGUCGAUGUUUAACUUCGCACACAAGGUUGUCGCUUGCAUCGCCGACACCUGCACAUGUUACAAAUUAGCUAGGCGUAAGCAAUGUGUACUUAAGACGCAGGCAACGGAUGUGCCUGAGACACAAGACUUGGUCAACCUGAACUAUCAGACACCAGUACGGAGGAGAACAACUGGCCCAACCGACAACAUUUCUGGAUGUGGAGAAAGCUCUGCUAUCCAUGAAUCGGGGUCACACAAGAGGAGCACUCGUGUUAGCACCGGAACAAGCUAUGAGACGGCCAUUUCGAACAAGAAGAUUUGUGUCAGUCAGCCACAGUUUGAUCAUGUGAAAGACGGACAACCACAAAAUGACCCACUCAACAUAAACAGCGACGAAGCUAAGAUUGUGAGGAGUGUUUACAAUUUAUACGAUGAUCUAUCUGCAAUACUGGUAACAUACUAUGCGGAACUGCGUCCGAAUGUAGGCUAUGAACUAUUUGGAACAACUACAGAAACCGAAGCUGUACGGACUGCACUCCCUAUAACAACCAUCGCUCGUGAGCCAUGGGCUGCUGGUUCACUACCUGCACCACCCUCCCAAACUGUCUUAACGGCGAUACAUGACUGGUUCUCACGGGCAUCAUCGGUCCAACUUGACAGGAUAUGGAUUGUGCAUCCCAAUCCUAGGAUGGUAUCUCUUACUGGAAUCCAUGUCCAGCAAUAGCUGACAGGACAAGAACCCCUCAUGCAUGAAAUGGUAGUCGUGUUGAUGAGGCGCCUAGGGCAAAUCGACAAGUCUUUCUCUACACAGCCAGUCGUAAUGCGUUGGCGCAAAUUCCUCGACCCGGACUUUGCUACUGCUGUGUUGUCCAAUGCCGAUCCGGUUUAUGUACAAUCAAUACAAAAGAUGUUCUUCACCGGUAUUGAUGAAGCAAACCCAGCCUCGUGUAGAAUGUGGCACAUCACGGCUAUCCUAGAAGAUGGAUGGGCACUAUACUCAUUCGACAUGGUGAAGAAGAAAGUAAUUGUACUGGACCCAGCUGUAGGACCAUUCGGUUACAGUAAUAGGCGCGUGAAGAUGCACACUUAUGUGUCAAACAAGUUGCAUGCCGCACUUUUCUGGUGCAUAAACCAGUUUUACUCCUCGUGGAUAUGCUCACCUCGUGGAUGGAGUAGAGCGUUCCCCAUACUAAUGAAUUAGAAGGUCGCAAGGCAUGAGUCAGGAUUAUGUACCGUGUUCUUCGCUAAGAACUACGACGGUGAUAAACUAGCCAUCCCACUCACACGGGAGAAUCUGAAGAUCCACAAGCAAAUCAUGCUCUUCGAGUUGAUGCGUUUGGAAGGAAAUGAUUCGCUCCUACCUCAGGAUGCAUUGCAAGCAAUCAAGAACUCUUUUUGCAUCCUGUGACAUUGAAGCUCCUACCUCAGGAUGCAUUGCAAGCAAUCAAGAACUCUUUUUGCAUCCUGUGACAUUGAAACCAGUAUGCACCGUUUUCCCAUGAAACACCCAUACCGAAUGUAUGUCUCAUGUCCUACAUCCCGACAUUCUCAGAAGCACUAUGUUCAUGUUUAAUUCCCUUAUUUCAAGAAUUAACCGUGCGUCGCACC